rnacentral:rRNA from 1 species
ACGGACGCUGGCGGCGUGCUUAACACAUGCAAGUCGAACGGAAAGGCCCUGCUUUUGUGGGGUGCUCGCGUGGCGAACGGGUGAGUAACACGUGAGUAACCUGCCCUUGACUUUGGGAUAACUUCAGGAAACUGGGGCUAAUACCGGAUAGGAGCUCCUGCUGCAUGGUGGGGGUUGGAAAGUUUCGGCGGUUGGGGAUGGACUCGCGGCUUAUCAGCUUGUUGGUGGGGUAGUGGCUUACCAAGGCUUUGACGGGUAGCCGGCCUGAGAGGGUGACCGGCCACAUUGGGACUGAGAUACGGCCCAGACUCCUACGGGAGGCAGCAGUGGGGAAUAUUGCACAAUGGGCGGAAGCCUGAUGCAGCAACGCCGCGUGCGGGAUGACGGCCUUCGGGUUGUAAACCGCUUUCGCCUGUGACGAAGCGUGAGUGACGGUAAUGGGUAAAGAAGCACCGGCUAACUACGUG